GACGAACGCUGGCGGCGUGCUUAACACAUGCAAGUCGAACGGAAAGGCCCUGCUUUUGUGGGGUGCUCGAGUGGCGAACGGGUGAGUAACACGUGAGUAACCUGCCCUUGACUUUGGGAUAACUUCAGGAAACUGGGGCUAAUACCGGAUAGGAGCUCCUGCUGCAUGGUGGGGGUUGGAAAGUUUCGGCGGUUGGGGAUGGACUCGCGGCUUAUCAGCUUGUUGGUGGGGUAGUGGCUUACCAAGGCUUUGACGGGUAGCCGGCCUGAGAGGGGGACCGGCCACAUGGGGACUGGGAUACGGCCCAGACUCCUACGGGAGGCAGCAGUGGGGAAUAUGGCACAAGGGGCGGAAGCCGGAUGCAGCAACGCCGCGUGCGGGAGGACGGCCUUCGGGUUGUAAACCGCUUUCGCCUGUGACGAAGCGUGAGUGACGGUAAUGGGUAAAGAAGCACCGGCUAACUACGUG
rnacentral:rRNA from 1 species